GUGAAUCAUCGAAUUUUUGAACGCAAAUUGCGUUUUCUGGUAUCCUGGGAAGUAUGCCUGUUUGAGGGUCAGUAUUAACAAAAAAUCGGUUUGGUUGGAAAUUGUGACGUUUCGGGAGUUUGGGCUUAUCUUAAUUUUUUUGGUUAAGGGGCUUGAAAUUGACCUUUUUUGCGCAUUUUUAGACGAACAUAAAUUUUUUUUAUUCGUCUAUUCUUAAUG
rnacentral:misc_RNA from 1 species